rnacentral:lncRNA from 1 species
GUGCAUCGGGAUUCCGGUGAUGCUUUGGGUAAUCUCAUAGUUGAGGUUUUCCACUAGGGAAUCCGACGAGAUCGCGAGCUUCGUGAUUGAGGAUUUCUAUGCGGCUUGUGGUAAUUUGUGAUGGAGUAGUUGGAGCACCCCUGCAGGGUUAAAUCUUUGUGGAAAGCCGUGCCCGCGGUUAUGUGGCAACGUGGAAACUUUGUUUAACACUGGUUCUAGAUAACUUGAAGUUAACUUAAUUAAAAUAUGCCAACUGUGUGCGUAACCGUGACUGUCUCUUUCGUGAGUUCCUUCUCCGAUCGAGGACACGGUGGGGUUAUGUCUGAUGUAGGUAGGUGUUUAGGAUCAUUCUUUUGAUCAUCUGUAGUUCACGUCCGCUAUGCGUAGAUCUUCCCCCUAUUAUUUCUGGUACUCGUAAGUUUAGCCACCAAAUAUAUGCUUAGCCGCUGCUGCAACCUCACCACUUAAC